AAUGAAGUGCCUGAUUAAAGGAUUAUUCUGAUAGGAUAAAUUAAGUAAAUAAAUAUUACCUUCAUUA
rnacentral:tRNA from 1 species